GAGCAAACCAAAGAGGCUUUGGUUCCACAUUCACAAAAACAUCCAACCAAUACAAUAACAAGUCUGAACACAAAGAGAGCCUAAGCGCUGGUGAACUUGGUGACCGCCUUGGUGCCCUCAGAAACGGCAUGCUUGGCGAGCUCGCCGGGGAGGACGAGGCGGACGGAAGUCUGAAUCUCCCGAGAGGUGAUGGUGUUCUUCUUGUUGUAGCGAGCAAGGCGGGCGGACUCCUGAGCCAUCUUCUCAAAGAGAUCGUUGAUGAAGCUAUUCAUGAUCCCCAUUGCCUUGCUGGAGAUCCCGAUGUCAGGGUGGACCUGCUUCAACACCUUGAAGAUGUAGAUCUUGUAUGUCUCAAUCGACUUCUUCGAUUUCUUCUUCUUCUUGUCUCCAGCAGCAGCAGCUCCGCCGUCCUUCGGCAGCUUCUUGCCGGCCUUAGGAGCUUUCUCAGCUGAUGGCUUCUUCUCUGCCUUUGGAGCCAUUGAAGGGAAAAUUUGGG
rnacentral:misc_RNA from 1 species